rnacentral:lncRNA from 1 species
GGACCAAACCGCAUAUAUAAAUGAAAAUAUAUUCAUUUUCAACAUAUUUCGUAUGAACAAGAAAACAAACAAAAGACUACAAAUAUUAUACACUUCAAUGGCAAACAUGCCAACAGUACAAACUAAUCAAUAAAACCACAUAUGCAUUUAGUUGAAAGCAGAACAUAUCUUGCGGAUUUCACCAUCAACACCGGUCUUCACUCCAAUGUUGCUCAUCUUUACCAUUGAAUUUCCAAAUUCAACAUUAAAUGUUAAUCCAAGCAACCCUCUUAGACCCAAGUAUCUUUGCACAAAUGUCUUUGUGGAAGCAUCAUUCCACAAUGCUUGAUCAGAUUGAAGAAUUCCACGUCCGUUCCUCAGAUUAGCAUAGUAAGAAUUAUCAAAUUUAUUUUGACUUCCAGUAUCCAAUGCAAUUCUGUUUGUAGC